AUUGAACGCUGGCGGCAUGCUUUACACAUGCAAGUCGAACGGCAGCGCGGGCUUCGGCCUUGCGGCGAGUGGCGAACGGGUGAGUAAUACAUCGGAACGUGCCCAGUAGUGGGGGAUAGCUCGGCGAAAGCCGGAUUAAUACCGCAUACGACCUGAGGGUGAAAGUGGGUGUUCCUCGGACCUUGCGCUAUUGGAGCGGCCGAUGGCCGAUUAGCUAGUUGUGGGGGUAAAGGCCUACCAAGGCGACGAUCUGUAGCUGGUCUGAGAGGACGACCAGCCACACUGGGACUGAGACACGGCCCAGACUCCUACGGGAGGCAGCAGUGGGGAAUUUUGGACAAUGGGGGAAGGCCUGAUCCAGCAAUGCCGCGUGUGUGAUGAAGGCCUUCGGGUUGUAAAGCACUUUUGGCGGGAACGAAAAGGACUGUGCCAAUACCACGGUUCGAUGACGGUACCCGCAGAAUAAGCACCGGCUAACUACGUG
rnacentral:rRNA from 1 species